CUUAUCACCGACUAAUGCUACUAUCUCCCUUCAUCACAGUCGUUUCUUUUCGCCAUCAUCUUCACUGUACUCCAUUUUUGUUUGAGCAAGCUCUAUUUUAAGCUUGGUUUGCCAUGGAGGAUGAAGCGAAUGAAAGUUUUUCUUUUACCCAGUAAAGAUGCCAAACUCUUGAAAAAGUAAUAUCACCCCCUAACAAAUCCCUCUGUACUUUUUGCUCCAUUGUUUUUUACUCCCUUAAUUACUUCAUGGAACCCAUGCGGACCCUUAGUGUGUGAAGUUGACUUCUUGUUGCUAGGUUGCCCGACUGCCAAGAAACUCCAAUUUGAUCCGCCGGCCAGUUGGCGCGUUGAUCGAGUCAUGGGUCGGACAAAUGUCUGAAUCCCUUUGACCGAGGUUUCCGAUUUAGGUGGGUUUCGAUUUGGAGGUUAAGUGGGGAUUUGGGGUGCGGAUUGGACAUGGCAUCCCCUUCCCCAACAAAUUGAAAUUAAAGGUGAAUCACCAAAAAUUGUCAAAUUCUGUCGUUGAAAUGCUUGGAAAAUAGAGCAACGAUCCAUGGAAUAACAACAAAGAUGGAAAAAUGGCGUCGAUAAUUGAGAAUUGGUUACAAAACGCGAUUGUCGUUUUGAAACCUCGGAGCUUGACAAAACGUAAUCAACGGCGGUUGAAUUCUCGUCUUUCAAUCUCUCUCUGCAUUGCUAUGAGCCUAUGAUGGUCGUUGAGAUCAGGUAAGGGGUAGGGAUGGUGGAUGUUCAGGAGAGUUGUGGGAUUUGGGUAGGCGUGGCUCAGGUGGCGAAAAGGGGUUGCAUCUAGACCUGGAAAAUGGGUCAUUCGGGUCGGGUAUGGGUCGGAUCUUGUUCGGGUCAGAUCAAGUUCGGGUCAAAAGGUUAUUGGGUCAAGUUUGGGCGGGUUGGGUUAGGUCAUUUCGGGUUUCGGGUUGUUUUCGAGUCGAUUGAUAAUCGGGUCGGGUAGGGUAUCGGGUCAACACUUCGGGUCAAGUUUGGGUUGGGUCAGUUCGAGUUGGGUCAAUUUUUGGGUCGAGUUAGUUCGGGUCGAGUCCAAUAUUAAGGCUACUUUUUUCAAGGAACAUAGUAAUUGUUUGACUUAUAUUUACCUUCUUUGUGUGUGUGUGUGCGCGCGCGCGCGUGUGUGUGUUUAGAUUGAGAAUAAAUUUCAUGAUCUCCUGAAACUAAGAGGGAUGCUCUAACUAAUUGAGUUAUACCUCAAUAUCUUAUUGAUUCAAGUUAAAGGUCGGGUCAAUUUCGGGUCGGGUCAUCUCGGGUCGGGUCAUUUCGGGUCAAGGUCAGGUCAAUUCCACUCGGGUCGGGUUGAUUUGGGUUUUGGGUCAAUUUCGGGUCACUGGUUUCAGGUCAUGGGUCGGGUCAUUUGAGUCGGGUCAUCGGGUGUGGGUCGGGAUUGCCAGGUCUAGUUGCAUCUCAGGUGGUCAAUUUGGUGAUGAUGGUGAGAAGGUGGUCAAUUUAGUGGUGAUGGUCAUGGUGUUGAAGGGGGUGAGGUGAAAAAUGAAGAUUAAAUUUAUUGAAAAAAAAAAAA